UACGAAGGGGGCUAGCGUUGCUCGGAAUUACUGGGCGUAAAGCGCACGUAGGCGGCUUUCUAAGUCGGGGGUGAAAUCCUGGAGCUCAACUCCAGAACUGCCUUCGAUACUGGAGAGCUCGAGUCCGGGAGAGGGUGAGUGGAACUGCGAGUGUAGAGGUGAAAUUCGUAGAUAUUCGCAAGAACACCAGUGGCGAAGGCGGCUCACUGGCCCGGUACUGACGCUGAGGUGCGAAAGCGUGGGGAGCAAACAGGGAGUUAAGAA
rnacentral:rRNA from 1 species